CCUGGGGAGUACGGCCGCAAGGUUAAAACUCAAAUGAAUUGACGGGGGCCCGCACAAGCGGUGGAGCAUGUGGUUUAAUUCGAUGCAACGCGAAGAACCUUACCUGGUCUUGACAUCCACAGAACUUGCCAGAGAUGGCUUGGUGCCUUCGGGAACUGUGAGACAGGUGCUGCAUGGCUGUCGUCAGCUCGUGUUGUGAAAUGUUGGGUUAAGUCCCGCAACGAGCGCAACCCUUAUCCUUUGUUGCCAGCGGUUAGGCCGGGAACUCAAAGGAGACUGCCAGUGAUAAACUGGAGGAAGGUGGGGAUGACGUCAAGUCAUCAUGGCCCUUACGACCAGGGCUACACACGUGCUACAAUGGCAUAUACAAAGAGAAGCGACCUCGCGAGAGCAAGCGGACCUCAUAAAGUAUGUCGUAGUCCGGAUUGGAGUCUGCAACUCGACUCCAUGAAGUCGGAAUCGCUAGUAAUCGUAGAUCAGAAUGCUACGGUGAAUACGUUCCCGGGCCUUGUACACACCGCCCGUCACACCAUGGGAGUGGGUUGCAAAAGAAGUAGGUAGCUUAACCUUCGGGAGGGCGCUUACCACUUUGUGAUUCAUGACUGGGGUGAAGUCGUAACAAGGUAACCGUAGGGGAACCUGCGGUUGGAUCACCUCCUUA
rnacentral:rRNA from 1 species